GUAGGUGGCAAGCGUUGUCCGGAAUUAUUGGGCGUAAAGCGCGCGCAGGCGGUUCUUUAAGUCUGAUGUGAAAGCCCACGGCUCAACCGUGGAGGGUCAUUGGAAACUGGAGAACUUGAGUACAGAAGAGGAAAGCGGAAUUCCACGUGUAGCGGUGAAAUGCGUAGAGAUGUGGAGGAACACCAGUGGCGAAGGCGGCUUUCUGGUCUGUAACUGACGCUGAGGCGCGAAAGCGUGGGGAGCAAACAGGGAUUAGAUACCCUGGUAGUCCACGCCGUAGACGAUGAGUGCUAAGUGUUAGGGGGGUUUCCGCCCCCCUUAGUGCUGCAGCUAACGCAUUAAGCACUCCGCCUGGGAGUACGGCCGCAAGGCUG
rnacentral:rRNA from 1 species